rnacentral:rRNA from 1 species
UACGAAGGGGGCUAGCGUUGCUCGGAAUCACUGGGCGUAAAGCGCACGUAGGCGGAUUGUUAAGUCAGGGGUGAAAUCCUGGAGCUCAACUCCAGAACUGCCUUUGAUACUGGCGAUCUUGAGUCCGGGAGAGGUGAGUGGAACUGCGAGUGUAGAGGUGAAAUUCGUAGAUAUUCGGAAGAACACCAGUGGCGAAGGCGACACACUGGCCCGUUACUGACGCUGAGGCGCGAAAGCGUGGGGAGCAAACAGG